AUUGAACGCUGGCGGCAGGCCUAACACAUGCAAGUAGGACGCAGUUGCGAACGGGUGAGUAACGCGUAGGUAACUACCUAUUAGAGGGGGAUAACUAUUGGAAACGAUAGCUAAUACCGCAUACUAGUAGAUGGACCUGCGUUGUAUUAGCUAGUAGGUAGGGUAAAGGCCUACCUAGGCAACGAUACAUAGCCGACCUGGAGGGGGGAUCGGCCACACUGGGACUGAGACACGGCCCGGACUCCUACGGAAGGCAGCAGUAGGGAAUCUUCGGCAAUGGGGGGAACCCGGACCGAGCAACGCCGCGGGAGUGAAGAAGGUUUUCGGAUCGUAAAGCUCUGUUGUUAAGGAAGCGGAACUUAACAAGAAAGGACGGCUAACUACGUGCCAGCAGCCGCGGUAAUAC
rnacentral:rRNA from 1 species